AAUAUUGCGCAAUGGAGGGAACUCUGACGCAGCGACGCCGAGUGAGCGAUGAAGGUUCUCGGAUCGUAAAGCCCUGUCCUUGGGGAGGAAGGCGGGCAUGCAUGGUCACAUGAAGGUUCCCAACGAGGAAGCCCGCGCUAACUAUGUGCAGGCAGCCGCGGUAAUACGUAGGGGGCAAGCGUUGUCCGGAAUUAUUGGGCGUAAAGGGUGCGUAGGCGGCCUUUUAAGUCAGAUGUGAAAGACCACGGCUUAACUGUGGGGUUGCAUUUGAAACUGGAGGGCUUGAGUAUCGGAGAGGGUAGUGGAAUUCCCAGUGUAGCGGUGGAAUGCGUAGAUAUUGGGAGGAACACCAGUGGCGAAGGCGACUACCUGGACGAAAACUGACGCUGAGGCACGAAAGCUAGGGGAGCAAACA
rnacentral:rRNA from 1 species